GCGAAGCUGACGGGAAUUGGCAUACCUGCCGUACUCAAAAUUCGGCGCUUCCCGGUUCGACUCCGGGGCUUCGCACCA
rnacentral:tRNA from 1 species